ACCGACAGCAAUAUGAAGGCCAGGCUGAAGACUUUGCCGGAUUAGCUGAGAGGUGGUGCAUGGCCGUCGUCAGUUCGUACUGUGAAGCAUCCUGUUAAGUCAGGCAACGAGCGAGACCCACGCCCACAGUUGCCAGCGUACUCUCCGGAGUGACGGGUACACUGUGGGGACCGCCGCUGCUAAAGCGGAGGAAGGAAUGGGCAACGGUAGGUCAGUAUGCCCCGAAUAUCCCGGGCUACACGCGAGCUACAAUGGUUGGUACAAUGGGUAUCUACCCCGAAAGGGGACGGGAAUCUCCUAAACCCAUCCGUAGUUCGGAUUGUGGGCUGCAACUCGCCCACAUGAAGCUGGAAUCUGUAGUAAUCGUGUCUCAAAAUGGCACGGUGAAUAUGUCCCUGCUCCUU
rnacentral:rRNA from 1 species